CGUUGAUCAACCUCUUCAAGAAGAAAGAUCGUCGUGGUAUCGACAAGAUCGUUGAAGACCGGUGUAGUCCUUGUUACCUUCUUUAUUCCUAUCUUGGAAUCUCGGAACGAGAUUCUUUUAAGGGGGAUAGAUUUGUAACAUCCCUGUUUUAGCUAAUCCUAAAUAGGAGUUGUAAUGUGCAUCAUGAGCAUGGAAUGCAUCAUUUAAUUUAACUCUCGAGAACAUACAUUGCGGAAAAUUUGGAACACAUUAAAAAUUAGCUAUUUUCUUUCCUAUUUUAAAUGUCUUCAAAAAGGUUUCAAAUAUAGUUUAUCUAGUCGAAGAGACAAAAUCUGCAGAUAUCACCGCACGCCUGAGUUAUCUGGAGCAAAAUAUCUAGCAGUCUUUAAAUUGAUAUCUAUGAGCUACAGUACCAUGCAUCUAAAAUAUCCAGAGGAAAGCACCGCACCUCAGCUGAAAAGAAGUGACCAACUAGUACUUCUAUUCCCCAACCUAACAGACCAUCCACCAUCGUUAUCCCUAUUCCCCAUCACACGGAAGCAGACCAACCCAGCAAACUUUUCCAGAACCAAGCUGCCGAGCCAUGGAGAUCACCUAGGAGGACUAGCGCCUAGACCUUUGGCUGGAGCAGAGCAAGUCGUCCAUCAAGGCAAGGAGAUGGAGAAGAGGAAAAGACCAACACAUCUCUGAUCGGUUCUUCUUCAUCUUUGAUCUUGAGUACAGAGCAAGUGCCGAGACGAUGAAGAUCGCCAACGACGCAGAUCAAUAAUUGUCCACCGACGAACAAGUCAAGCAUGGGAUCUCCGAAGAUCCACAUUGGUUUGUCAGGGACAAAGGCAAGCCCUAGCCUGGUUCAUAUUAUGAUUUCGAAAUGCUUUUACUUCUGGUUCCUACAUAUCGCAUUCGUUUCAAAUAUGUUUUAUCGGCAGGUAUAGUUAUCCUAUGUAUGUUGCAUUUACCAUCCUUGUAGCCUAAAUACUCUGAUCUACUGCUCCCAACAAGACUAGGUUUGAGCUAUGUGUGCAUCGCUAGAGCCGUUAUAUCGAAUAUACUUAGCAAUGCUUAGUUGAUGAAUUCUGAUCCAUCCGGUUGAUGAAUCAGAGCUGCGAAUGAACCUAGUAUGGCAGGAUGACGUGGUAAGAUCAGUGAUGAUAAUUAAACAUGCUUAAAGGCUUGGAUGGGCCGCCACAUGGGGAUGUGGUGAUUUGACUCGUUCUAGCCGAUACUAGGACCUGAGGUUCUCGCCUUCGAAACCAAGACUGAGCGUACAGCCACACGGGGCCCAUGGGAACCCCUUGGCCCGAACUUGCCUAGCUUACCCAUGAGUCAAUUAGUUUGCGGGUUCCAUUUGGCAUUCUGCAUGGCGAAGGCGUGGAAAAGGUUUUCAAAGGUGCAUCAUACAGGGCGUGGUCGGGGUGAAGGAUGCUGGAGGCAUUGAACUGGAUCCCCUGCGCACAAUGACCGGGACCGCCUCGGAGAAUGGCUACCUACGAUGACGGAGUUCCCCAGUUAGAUUGACUCAUGGAAUAGGCGAAGCAAGGGAAAGGUUUUGGUCGACCACCCUCUGCCGGCACACCAAGGAAGUGUGUUAAUCAUGUGGCGUUAAGAGUCGGUCGGCGCGUGUGGGUAAAGUUGUACACCUCUGCAGGGUAAAUCUUUUCGAAAAGCCGUGUCCACGGUUACGGACGACUUGGUGAUGGAUUCUGUGAUCAUAGACAACUUGAACCUAAUCGUAAAACUUGGAAUCAAUGUGUGAUAAGGAUCCCCUCUCAGGGUAUGGAGGGGGUGAUCCUAGUGGAUAGGUUCAGCAUAUGAUUAAUAUUCGGUGGAUUCAAUAUGAUGAUUAGUAGAGCUAGUGAUAUCGCUCUCUUAUCCCCUUUGAAAAUGAUCUGAGUAGACGAGCUUCUGCUCCCUCUUGUUUUACAAAGGAAAACUGGCUUUCUGCAAAAUAAGCUCCACAUAAAGCCUCCCAUACCAGAUUUGCUAAAAGGUUGUACUAAGUCUUGCUGAGUCCCUGUACUCAGCUUUGCAUGCUUUGUUUCAGACGAAGUCACUCCGACAAAUGAAGGUUUCUAGGUCGACAUCGACGAGUAGCUUGGGAUUCCCAGGUGGCAGCCUGGAAUCUAUGGGCUGGGACGUCGCCGUUUUGCUCCUGGCCUCUUAGGCCUUUUGCUAUCUUGCUAUUUAGAAUAGCAUAACUUCGCUUCCGUUGAUUGAUGAAAUGUCAGGUCAGUGACCUCUGCUUGUAAUACUUUGGUUUUUCGCUCAGGUAUAAGCUUGUAUUACUCUUUGAGUCGUAGAGUCACUGUUGUGUUACCGAUUCUCACCCUGUAGGCCCUAGAGAUCUAGGUUAGGCUUAUGCCAGAUGGAGAUCUGGGUUUGUCUAGCCUAUGACCCCCGGGGUCGCCACACGAGGCUUGAGGAUGAAGAUCGGCGAUGUUCUUAUUUGACGUCACCCUUUUUCUAGCAGACCCUCACGCGUUGGGGACAACGCUUCUGGGAGAAGGGGAGGAUGAUAUGGAUAUCCAGGCCUGGUACACUAGGACAACCAUUGAUAUGAUGAUUAAGUCUAAGGUUGUACCAGUAUUUUAUCACAGUCUUGUUAUUAGGAAAUAAUAAUGUAACCAGGUCAUGUGGUGGGCCAUUAGGGUUUAAAUUAGUGUUUGUUUGACUUGGGCCUGUCCGAGUCAAACUAGGUUAGGCCCAAUAGGGCUGGCCGGCCACCUCUCCCUCAUAUAAGGAGAUGGUGCGUCCUAGGGUUUGGUAGAUUAGAUUGAAUCCAGAAUAUGUAGAACUUUGAGUUCAUACUAUCACCGUCCCUAUGGGAUCGGCGUGCGUGACGGCGUCUUGGACGUUCGCCCGGUUAUCCAAUAAAGGUGUGAGAGUUCUUGAGU